ensembl:lincRNA
CCCGGGGUCCUGGCGGACGGGAGGCUGGGCAUCUGCGCAGAGGCCUAUGUAAGGCCCAGAGGGUCCCAGCUGACUACGCACAGUCCCCGACGUGUGCGUUGCCUUCCCCAGACACUGUGGCGGCGGACAGUGGGGCGGCAGGUCCCCACCAGACGGAAUUCCACCGCCUCUCACCUCUCUCCAGUCUUGAGAAAGCUUCCCGCGGCCUCGAACCCCUCCUCCACCGCCCCCCUCACCCGGAACUGGCAUUUCAAAAAGCACUGUGCAGUCAACCGGCGCCGGGAGCUGGAAGCACACACUUCAAGAAUGCCGGCUGCCAGGAGUGCGUUGGGCACAGAAGGCUGCUGCUCGGCCCAGGAAGACCCUCACUGGACGGCAGUUGUGACACUGCCCAGGAGGCCACAUUUGGCUCUCAACGUGGCGGAUGGUGCCUUCUGUCCUUGGUUCUACAAGAGUGACUUUUCCUGACAGUCUUCUGGCCUCCCACCUGGCUGGCUUCUGUUGGGACGGUGGUUCUAGGUAGUAGAGCCUGCAGCCCUUGCCUCUUUGCUCUGGAUUUCCCAGGGCACUAAAGCCCAGGUCCAGGGCAUUAAAGCCCAGGGCCCAGGGAGGCACCCUUUCCUUCCCAGGCCAGGUGUAGGGCUUGUUCUCUAAGUGCAGACCCAGUAGUUCCAAGGCUCCUACUGAUCCUGGGCCACAGUAACUCCUGCAGAGUGCCUCUGUCCCCUGCCAGCUGCUGUGGGGUAGAGACGCCCAGCCCCAGCAGGAAGGCCUUUCUGCUUGGUUUGAUCAACAGUAAAGCAAUUGGUGCUCGCUUUGUUUUGACUCUCAUGUUUAACAGCAGAGCCUGUGACAUCACAGAAAAGCAGCCUUGGGCUUGAGUGAGGUGGGAUCCAUCCCUGGUAACAUGGCUCUUCCAGAGUUGUCUGGAUAUGGGAAAUGGGAUGGCCCAUUGUUCUGAUGAUACUGCUUUCCCCCACCCUGGAUCCCUGGGGUUCAGAUGGGGCCAGCUCUAUCCACUAGCUUUAGAAGCAGACAUCUGAUCCAGGCCUGCACACAGGCUCCGGGAACUCCCCCAGGGACUUCUGCAGCAACCGUGGGGAAAGAGCUUUCUCUUGCUGUGGGAGUUGCUAAGUCCACAGGGUAUAAGCUUGGUGCUGCUGAUGGCCAAUCUGUUACCCACUUGAGGGUGAAGCCAACAAAGAGGAACGAGAACUAAGAUGGACAGAGUGUGCCGUCCAGACUUGUCCCUUGCUGCCCAGGAAGUUCCUGAAUCCAGCCGUGCCGGAAGCCAACUCUGCCCCGGGACUGUCCUGAUUAUGUGAGCCAGUGCUUUUUAGUUUUGUCUAGCCGAGCGUGGUGACGCACGCCUGUAAUCCCAGCACUUGGGAGGCUGAGGCAGGAGGAUCGUAACGAGUUUGAGGCCAGCCUGGGCUACUAAGUGAGCUCAAGGCCAGCUAGAACUCAUAGCGAGACCCUGUCUCAAAAAGGCACCCCCCCAAAAAGCUUUUUCUUUCCUUUAAAACCAGGCAAAAUUGGGUUUCUAUCAUAGAGAGCCUUCUAAUGUAGGAAGUGUUUUUCUGUGGUCUUACUUUUUUUUAAAGUCAGCUUUAUUGAGAAGUACUUCACAUGCAAUGGAAUCCACGCCCUUUAAGCAUACCCGUUGAAAGUUUUGUCGAAUGUGCAAUGCACCUUUGUAACUAUCACCACAGUCAGAUGUGGACCAGUACUUUUUCUUCCCAAAAGUUCCCUCAGCUCCCUUGAUGGUCAGUCCCUCCACCCUCAGACAACCACUGACCUGCUUUUCUAGAAAUCUGCUUUUGCCUUUCUAGGAUUUCCUAUGAAGAUGAUCACACAGUGAGCUGUCUGUGUUUGGUUUCUUCUCAGCGUGUUUUUGGGACUCAUCCUUGUGACGUGCAUCGGUGCACGCUUCCUGGGGAGGACUGCAUCAUGUGGAUGUGCAUUGGUUUGCUCAGCCACUUACCAGAUGAUGUGUAUUUGAGCUGUUUCUAGAUGUUGGCUGUUAUAAAUAAAGUUGUUUUGAACGUUCACUUACCGAUCUUUGGGUGCAUGUUUUGAUUUUUAUACAUCAUGUUUGUUUUCCUGGAGGCAACAAGUUCAGACAGGUAGAUUGACUUGUUCAGAGCCAUAUGGCUGAUACUCCCCUCGCUGGAACAGUG